UUUGUUUCUUAAGUAACUCAGAAUAAACUAUUUUGUUAUAGUUAUUUCAUAGCCAUGUGGGUAUAUUAUUAUCCUCAUUGCAUAAAUGAGGAAACUGAGACUCAGGGGAAAUUAAAUGACUUGUCCCAAAAUGUACAGCUAGUCAGUGACAGGCACAAUUCAACCCUAGGUUGUUCAAUCUUAUUCUAACGUACACAAUCUUAACUACUAGCUACUAUACUUGCAUAUUCAGGACUAACCCAGCAUAAAUGUUACAUCCUUGAUAUUCUCUCUUUUGCCUUUUUAUGCAACAGGGAAAGGCAAGCUCUAAAAGUAGAAGGGAGAAUGUCAGCAUUCUGGUAUUUAGAAUGAAUUCGUUGAAGGGUAAGGAAGUUUACUAAGUGCCAGUUCUCAACUAGGCACCAACAAACAAUGGCUUAGAAAAAUAGAUUUAGUCCCUGCCCUCACAGAGCUUCCACCUAGAAGACUCUCCAAACAGGCAAAUAAGCAUUCAUUUAGGACACUUAUUCAAUAAUAUUAUUGAUCAGUCACCAUGUGCCUGGUACUGUGCUGGGUGCUGGAGACAGGCAAGGUGGAAAAGACAGACUGAGAUUCUCCUCUACCAGCUUACAGUCUAGCUGGGGAGACAGACAAGUAAAUAGGCAAGGACAACAUGACAUGUAUUAUUAUGGCAGACGUUCUGACAUUAUCAGGGCUCCUAGAAGUAGACCCCGACAGAAGGGUUAGGGAAGGCUCCCUGGAGGAGGAACACCACCCUUUUCUGCUCAUACUCUUGGAGUGAGGCCAAGAGACUGCCGAGCUGUCUUGACUUGUCCAGGCUGUCAGAGUGAUUUCCAAAGUACUCUUUCAUCUGUUGGCCAACUCAAUGGUAAUAGCUAACAAUUACAGAGCAUUUAAUAUGAGCCAGGCACUAUUCUAGUGCUUUACAAAACAUUUCUCAUUUCAUCCUUCCAGGAACCCUAGCUGGGAGCAUUUCUCUUUACAGAAGAACCUGAAGCACGGUGAGAGUGCCCUACAAAUUUACCCCCAGGGAGAGAAGGGAGAAGACAGAGGUGUCAGCAAGUACUUAGCACCUGCUAUGUGGCAGUCAUUGUGGUCAGUACUUUAUGUUAUUUCAUUUUACACUCACUUUAAUCUCAUAGGAAAGAGAUUAAUACAUGUACAUAUUUUGUUUGCACUUUUUUGCCAUUGUAUUCCCAGGGGCUUGGACUAUGCCUUACACAUAGCAGACACAAAAUUCAUGUUUGUUGAAUUAAUAAAUGAACGAAAAAGCUGAGGAUGAAACCGACUCCUCAGCCUGCAUACAAGGCCCUCUGUGAUCUGGCCCCUGCCUCCCGCUCAAGCCUCCCUUCCCACCUUGCCCAAGUGAAUCCUUCUCACCUGCACGCGGCUUGCUGCUAGACACUGCCAAGACUACUUGGCUUGUGCUGUCUCCACUACCUAGAAGGCCCUUCCACCAUGCAUCUUUCUUAGGUCAGAUUUCCCCAGAAACAGACUCUAAGAGAUUAAAGUGCAGGAAGUGUGUUGACAAGAGUUCUUGGUAAGAACCCUCAUAAAGAAGUGAGAGGGGGAAAAAAAGGGACAAAAAAAGAAAAAAAAAAAAAAACCCAGAAGUGAGGAAAGCGGGACUGG